CGCCUUUUGAAUUAUAAACAUAAAAGGUCCCGCCUGCCCAGUGACACUGUUCAACGGCCGCGGUAUUAUGACCGUGCAAAGGUAGCGUAAUCACUUGUCUUUUAAAUAAGGACCAGUAUGAAUGGCAAAACGAGGGCCUAACUGUCUCUCUAGAUUAGUCAGUGAAAUUGAUUUUCCCGUGCAGAAGCAGGAAUAAUAAUAUAAGACGAGAAGACCCUGCGGAGCUUUAAACUUAAGCUAACACAAUUUAAAGUAUAGCAACUAGUUUUUGGUUGGGGCGACCAUGAGGCAAAAACCCCCUCAAGACACAAUUAGAAGGACACUUCAAAAACAUAAUAUAUAUGUAUUUGACCCAAUAUUUGAUCAACGAAAUAAGUUACCCCAGGGAUAACAGCGCAAUCCACUCACAGAGCCCCUAUCGACGAGCGGGUUUACGACCUCGAUGUUGGAUCAGGACUACCAAAUGGUGCAGCAACUAUUAAAGGUUCGUUUGUUCAACGAUUAAAGUCCU
rnacentral:rRNA from 1 species